rnacentral:rRNA from 1 species
UACGUAUGGUGCAAGCGUUAUCCGGAUUUACUGGGUGUAAAGGGAGCGCAGGCGGCACGGCAAGCCUGAUGUGAAAGCCCGCGGCCCAACCGCGGGACUGCAUUGGGAACUACCGGGCUGGAGUGCCGGAGAGGUAGGCGGAAUUCCUAGUGUAGCGGUGAAAUGCGUAGAUAUUAGGAGGAACCCCAGUGGCGAAGGCGGCCUACUGGACGGUGACUGACGCUGAGGCUCGAAAGCGUGGGGAGCAAACAGG